UGUAAUAUACUGAUCAUUGGAUAUACUGUACAGAUAACCGUUUGAAAUUCUUAAAAUCGUUUAGUGUUCUCAUACUGGUCAUGGUGCUAGCUUUGCCCUUAAUGAAACCAUUAUCAAGAUGUAAAUUGCUUACAGGCUUCCUAUUAAUGUGUGUGUGCAGACCAUUCCACCCCCGCUCUCCAUUACGGUUGGAUGCCGGUCCAUUUUUAAACGAAUGAAAGUCAUUCAAGCACCAUCGGUCUUUAGUCAACAGGUAAAUCGCGUCACAUUUAACAGAAAUGGCUCUUACAGACGAGAGACUUACUCGGUCAGCCACGUUCCCCGCGGGACUCUGUCAUCGCGCGCAGCCCGUCUCUCGUGUGCGCGGCAUUCGCCGCUCGAAUUUCUCCCGCCCGAUUUCUCGAUGGUACCCGGAUGUGCUGCGAUCUCUCUCUCUCUCUCUCUCUCUCUGCCUUUCUGUCCGACAAUGUCAGCUAUCGACAGACCGUGAAGGCUACGCAGUACGGACAGUACUUUGUAGUCGUCCUCAGUAAGUAAACUGCGCUAUCCCGGUACAGACAGUGUGACCACAACUGACACUAGGAGAUAAUGGGUCAAUCCUGUUAGCCAUUGAAAACGCACUAACAAAAGAUAAAGACAAAUAAACUGGACAAACUGUACUGUCAGCGCUUCCCGGUCGUCCUGUCAUCACAAUGAAUGCCACCGACUCCCCAGCUAAGCUGCACUGCGCGCAUUCGGCCCAGGAGAGACAGGAUGGUUUUAAUGUAAACACUGCUAGAAGAAACAGAUGCCCUGCAGAAAUUCUUCAACAAAUCCAGUAAAGGGUCUUUGGGGGCAUUGCUAACUGGAGGACAAUGCGACACAAACACAAGUCACACCAGUGCACUUAUGCAUUACAUCCUCACUUGCAGACAAUAUUUCACCAGCUGUGGUCUGCAUUGUAAUUAAAUUAAAUGUCAGCAGCACUGAAAAUCAUCUGCACAGUGCCACUCUGGACAGGAGAUUCCACACAGCUUUUGGGAGUUUUGUGUCUAGAAGCCGUCAACUGUAGACACUUCUGACUGGAACAUUAUAAGAAGACCUUUUGAAAGCCCAUGACUCUCCAUUUUCCUCUUUUCUUGCCAAUGGCAGUUGACAAGCACUCUGAUCUUAUGCUAUUUUCAAGAAGGAUGAUUAAAGAUGUAGAGAAACAUGUAAAGAAAGCAAUGAAGGAUUAACCAAAGCUAAACACACCCUCUCUUAUACACUACAGCAGCAGAACCCUGCCACCAAGAGUCUGGAUUUUUUUUUUACUGUCUGUCACGGUUGCCUUUUGUAUUACUGUGCUUUUGAUAAAUUAAUCUAUAAGGAACAUUAUUUAAAAAAAAAAAGUAUGAACAUAUUGGACAAAAAU